AUAUUGGAUAAUGGGCGAAAGCCUGAUCCAGCUAUGCCGCGUGUGUGAAGAAGUUCUUCGGUUUGUAAAGCACUUUAAGUUGGGAGGAAGGGCAGUCAGUUACUAUCUUGCUGUUUGGACGUUACCGACAGAAUAUGCACCGGCUAGCUUCGUGCCAGAAGCCGCGGUAAUACGAAGGGUGCAAGCGUUAAUCGGAAUUACUGGGCGUAAAGCGCGCGUAGGUGGUUUGUUAAGUUGAAAGAGAAAGCCCCGGGGUCAACCUGGGAACUGCUUUCAAAACUGACAAGCUAGAGUAUGGCAGAGGGUGAUGGAAUUUCCUGUGUAGAGGUGAAAUGCGUAGAUAUAGGAAGGAACACCAGUGGCGAAGGCGACUACCUGGACUGAUACUGACACUGAGGUGCGAAAGCGUGGGGAGCAAAC
rnacentral:rRNA from 1 species